AAUAGUGUGGCCUAGUGGAAAGAGCACCAGCCUGAGAAUCAGGAGGACCUGGGUUCUAAUCCCAGCUCCACCA
rnacentral:tRNA from 1 species